rnacentral:SRP_RNA from 1 species
GGCAGGUGUGGUGGCCAGGGCCUGGAGGCUGAGGCGGGAGGAUUACUUAGCAGUAGGGUUGUAAGCUACAGUGAACUAUGCCGAUCCGGCGUCUGUACCAAGUUCAGCAUCAAUAUGGCGACCUCCGAGGAACGCAGGGGACCACCAGUUUGUCUAAGGAGGGGUCAACCAGCCCAGGUCGGAAACAGAGCAGGUCAAAACUCCUACGCUGAUCAGUGGUGGGCUCACACCUGUGAGUAGUCGCUGCACUCCAGCCUGGGCAACAUAGCCUCUAUUUUU